GUCAGCUCUUCCCGCAUGCUUGCCAGCUCUGGGCUACCUGCUGUGUGCUAAGUGUGAGGCUCUGUGGCUUACAAGCCGUACAGGGUAUGUGAGAGCUUCCCCUCAGCAAGCGUGUGGUCUAGGAAGGAAGGUGCGAUGUGGAAACAGACAGCUACUGGUAGGAAGGAGCCCCAGAAAUGGCACCUUUUCCUGGAAACUAGGAAGUUCAGAGUGGGACCCUGGCAUUGGGUGGAUUCUGGAAAAUGUGGCAAUGAUCUGUUAGCUCCUGGGACCUGCUCUUCCUUCAGGGAGGCCCUGAACAUUCUGCUUGCAGCCCCUGGCAGCCUACAGAAGCAAAGGCCACCUGCUGGAGGGCCAGAGGCUGAUGCACAGAGGGUAGGCAGAGGGGCCACUCACAGCAGGCUCCCAGAGGGAGUGUUUCUGCCGCAGACUGGUCUGCAUGAGACAUGAGAGGGAAAAGAGCAAGAACAGCCUGAUGAAGUUUGUUUUCAACCUAAAGUGAAGGACCAAGAAUGACUGACCCUACGCAGCCCUCAUCGCCAUUGAUUUACUGGUUCCCAUCAUGGGUCCACGUCAGAAUCACCUGCGGAGAUUUAAAAAGUUGCAAGCACCUGGCUCCACCCGUGGGCAUUCUCACGUUGGAGGACUUAGGGUGGGGCCCAGACAUUUGCUUUAAAAAAUGCUCUGCAGGUCAUUCGGAAAGCAGCCAGGGUGUUGACGCACGCUGUUGAUCAAUGUGGGCUUGGUUGUUCUUUAAACAAAAAUACUCUUAGAGGAGGGCGCUGAUAAUGCCAGUAGGUUUCCGUGCCAAUUCUCCUUCAGAUUGUUCUGUUUGCCAAAAUAGAUACGAGAAGCUCACAUGAAUAGACAGAUAAAAAGCCAACAUUUCACAGGUGGUCUUCCCUAGAAGCACCAAGCAGAGCGUCACUGACCCAGCUGGAGGGUUACUGACUUUCAGUGAGCGUCCAUCAUGUGCUAGGGACAGUGCCGGCCGGUCGCACACACGUUCUCUCAGCUGGUUACUGACUAUUGCUGUUGACACCGUUUGUAGAAGCCCUCAGUGUGAAGUUCGUUUUUUUGGAAUGAGCCAGCUCUCCAGAUGUUUGCAGCCCAGGCGAUGGCCUCUCUAGUGGUGGAGAUUUGGAGCCCAGCUGGCAGGGGAAACAGCCAUUUCCUACUGUCGCUGCUCAGAAAUGCUGGAGGAGACAGUGUAAGGAAAGAAACUGCUCACAUCUCAGGAACAGCCAGUCGUGUUUCACAGCAGUGAACAGCGCUCCGAACCAGUCUUCAGGCUGGAUUCCACUGGGAGGUUUACUCGGGAACCACGACCAUCCCUCCCUUCCACACGACAUGCCGGAUUUCUCUGACGAUUGGCUGUCCACAAAGGGGGCAUGGAAACUGGUGCUCAAUUUAAUGAAAGGGAAGCCCCUAGGGCCUUGUGAUCGCUGCCUUUACUAGGAACUCGAUGAACAAGAGGCCAUAGAUGACAGCAUACGUUCUAGCGGCAACCGGAACUGAUGUUCACCCCGUCAUUCCCAGCUCCCCAGCUGUCCCGGCGAGGGGAGAACAGUCGUUAUGAGAAGCAAAGCGAGGCGGUAAAGGGGAUGAGAUGACACACCGCGCUCUGGCUCUCUCUAAGGAAAGAUGAAACGGCGAAUGGCAAAUACUGGGCUGUUGCCUAAGGACCCGCGGGAUCUGCUGACCCUCGUGGACUCCAAGCCCAGCUGGCUGCCCGUCACGCGCUCGUUCAUGCGAGCAAAAACAAUUAAAGCCCGGCGACUGCACUGGGUGUGCUCGCCCCUGCUCUUGUCUGAGGCGGUGUUCACACUGAGGCUGCAUGAUGCCCUCUCAGGACAGGGCGGGUGUGCUGCCUGUGCUGGUUUCCUGGUUGCCCCGGGCCUUCGGUGUGACACAUGCUCUGUGCAGCAUGGCUGAGGACUUGGCUUCCGACAGGUGUGAUUCCUGUCCUGCCACUCGCAGCACGUGGUCCAAGGUAAGCAGUUCAAUGCCACUAACCCUCAGAUUUCUCACUGGGUUCUUCGAUUAAGUAAAAUAAUGGAUUUUUAAAACCCCAGUACCCAGUGCAUAGUAUGAGCUUAAUAAUUACCCAUUGUUAUAAUUGUCAGCAGCUUUACCAUUAUAAUAAACUGAAAAAAGUUUUAUUCCAUUAUACACACCUGUAAGUGGAUUAGCUUAUUUCACAAAAUUUGUGGGGACCAAAAUACCAUACUUGACAGAAUUAGCAACAUGGCAGUUUUAAUGGGUGUUCAAGAGAAUAAAAAAUAAUGGUUAUACGAUCCAAAAAAGUGAUGGAAGGAGGAAAUGAUUUUUAGAUAACCUGACAAGCUCACCGGCGCCACAUAGGAUCCCAACUUAGACUGUUGGUCAUGAAAAGAAUGCAGCCUGUUUGUAUUUUUCAGAGGACUUCCACAUUUCACAAAGUCUCCUUAUUUGAUGACUGACAAGAUCUGAAUUCUCUAGGGAAUGUCUGGGACGUAGUCGGCACACAAGCAGUUUUCUUGGUGACCUUGACUGCUGGAAACAAGGGUGUCCUGUUUGGGCCUCAAGUUCCCUGAGCACCUUCAGAGUGGCUGCUGAUAAAGGGGAGCCUAGGGAGCAGGCCAGGCUCCCAGCUCAGCGGGGAUGCCAACAGAGAAGGGGGCCCAGCAUCGGAAGCCCCAAAACAAUUACAACAGUAAUAUCACGGGUUGCCAAAACAAAUUCAGUGGUAAUGGAAAACUCUGAAAUGCUGCGAAGGAGGUUCACAGGAAGCAGAGCCAUGAAGGGAGCAGAUGCAGUUGGGAAAAUGGUGCCGACAGGCUUGCUCGGUGCAGGGCGGCCACAGCCUCCGGUCUGUAAAAGUGCCGUGUCCGUGGAGCGCAAUAAAAUGAGGUGCGACUGAACUUCCACCCUCUCACCUUUUGGGACGUGCUUGUAUGGAGGCAUGUUGGGAGGCAGGAUGGGGAAUAGAGAGUGUCGACGAUUAAGGAGCCUUGCCCGACAGAAUGAACCAACAGACUGUUUGCUGACCACGAGGCACCUGGACGUAAAAAUAAAUGUGGAGCCAGAACUGUCACUGCGCAUAUUAUAGUUACGGUCCUGGGCAUGAAAUAACCAGAAUGUGAGCUGUGUCCCUUUGGCUGCUGACCUCCCUGUUCCUUGGCCCCCAUGCACCCUGGGAGAAGUCUCCUCUUUUCCCUUGCAAAAGCACCAAGGGUCUCUGCUUCAAGAAUUACUCGGGGGUUCUCCCACUGUUGCACUGAUGACCAUCUUCCCUCAUCUGCAGCCCUAUGGCAAGUCCCUCCUAUGUCUCUAGUCCGAGAAGACAGGCAGAGAGUCUGCAAUUUUUGGUGUCUUUCCUGGAGCUGGACACAGGGAAUGAGCUACUCAGAUUAUCAACAUCAGGCCAGAUUGGCCACUCUUCCCCAAACCUUUUUAAUUGGGAAAAGUAUUUGUUUUAAAAUCUAGCAAAUAUAAUACAGUUUAGACACUCAACAAUAUCUAUAAAGAGAACCACAAAAAUAGCAUUUUUACUAUUCAUAGUUUGCAGAGAAUGGAUAAGACUCCUUUUCUUAAGAGUUACUUUUCUUUAAAGUAGGCAGUGGUAAUUAAGGGUAAAACAACCAGGCGGUGGUAUUGGAGGUUAGCAACCUUGUGCAGCCCUUGUUUAUGCCUUUAUCCCUACUGGGCUUUCCCUUCCUCCAAAGGCCUGCAGAAGCAGCUGGUGGUUUUUAGUCAUCAAACCGGAGCCCUUUGUUGGAAUUGUUUCUUUGGUGUAUCGUGAGAUGUGCUGUGAGCCAUCUGAUCAGGUCAGUCAUUCCCAUGAUUUGAGCGAGAGCACGUCUGCCUGAAGGCUGAGCUCACACCGUCGCCUGAGGUCACACAGAAGCCAGUGUGCAAGACCUUAUGUUGUGUGUUCCUAAAACAGCAGCUAUUUAAAAAACUGCUUAUUUACCUAUUUACUCACUUACCUCCAGCCUUCUGCCUCCCACCCCAGCUAGAGUAUUGGCUUAUCUGCCGAUGACUAAUGAAUGCAAGUCAGAGCAUUUCACUUUAAAGACAUUAUUUCUCUGUUUAAUGGGUGUGUCAUGAAUACCCAGUCACAUGAGUCUUACUCAGAACCGCGUGGGUUUGUCAGGAGAAAAGCAAUAUGUCUGCGUUGAGUCUCUCCUAUUCCCAUGACUUAUGUACCUGCAGAGGUUUAUGCAAAUGAUCGCCCUGGUGCAAUGUGGUCACAGCACCUCCUGGGAUCAUGGGGCCUUCGGUACCCUAACCCUCUUUGAAAAGGAGAAAUGUGAUUGGGCCACUGGCCCGGGCUCUUCGGGGGCAGUUCCGAUACUGCUGCUGGGUUUGGAUGGCUCGUGGGGAGACUGGGAGCUCCGUUCCUCCUCAUUCUCACCCUGUUCUCUGGUGGUCUCCCUGCCUGGCCUCUGUCCUCCCAGCCACCCACACAGCAGCUGGAGUUCCUCAGGCCCUUGCCUUGGGUCACCCACACUUUCUAGCUCAUGAGGUGCAGACGUCUGAGCUGAUCCCUCCUGACGGUCUCUCUGGUGUAUACUCUCAAUGUGCUGCAGAGCCUCAUCACCGCCCUGGCAACUUUUUCUCCUCUUGCUGAUGCAAGCCCCUCUCAUCUUCUGAAAUAGUAGUGAAAAUGCCCCUUAUUCAGGCAGUGUCCCCUGGUGUGUGGCUUCACCUGAUUCCUAACACACUUCUCAGCACACAAUCGGUUAA